GUUAUACAUCUCUACCAUUACCUAGCCUGAAAAGCCACCUCAGAUUCAGCCAACAAAGAUUGCUGAUUUGCUCCUUAAGCAAGAGAUUCACUGCUGCUCAGCAUGGCUCAGACCAACUCAUGCUUCAUGCUGAUCUCCUGCCUGAUGUUCCUGUCUCUGAGCCAAGGACAGGAGGCCCAUGCUGAGUUGCCCAAGGCCCAGAUCAGCUGCCCAGAAGGCACCAGUGCCUAAGGCUCCCACUGCUACUACUUUAAUGAAGAGCAUGAGACCUGGGUUUAUGCAGAUCUCUACUGCCAGAACAUGAAUUCAGGUAACCUGGUGUCUGUGCUCACCCAGGCUGAGGGUGCCUUUGUGGCUUCGCUGAUUAAAGAGAGUGGCACCAAGGAUAGCAAUGUCUGGAUUGGCCUCCAUGACCCCCACCGGAUCAGUCUGCUGCAUCUUCUACCUCCUGAUUAUCAGGUUCCAGAGGGUCUGAUGUCUGGCACCUCAAGCAUCAGUUUUUACUAUAUUAUGAUAAAAGCAACCUCUCUAUAAAUCAUAUAAUGUAAAGGAUAUCAAGGUUCUCCAUAGGUUCUUCGAGAUAAGCUUAAAGCUGAAUUUCCUGUGUGUUUCAGGCAUUCACAGAUAAACUCAUUCUCUGUACUUCUAGGGUAGCAUCUUUAUGUAUCUAUUAUGUACCUCUUAUCUAUUGUGUUAUCAUCUCUGUUAUAGAAGAGCCUUCUGUAGACCAUAUAGAAAAAGAUUAUAGAGGAGGAGAAUCUACUGCUGGCAAUUGGGAACCGCAAGGUAUACUAAAUAAUAUAUCAACAACUAAUGGCCAUCUAAUGCUAUGCUGGAUAUGAACUUUUGGGGCCUCAGGAAAGAAAAACCAGGAACUAGUUUCAAUAAUGAGGUGUCAUGGUUCCCUGUGGCAAAUUUAGAACACUUAUCGUUUGGCAGGACACAGAGAGGUAGGUGAACAUUCCAGGAAAGAAGCAGCUUAGAGAAAAUGUGGAGGAAAUAAUAUGACACUUAGAGAAAAAGGAAGGUUUAUUCUUGUCUUAUGUCUUGACCUGUUUCUGAGUGCGAACACAAACCAGGUGUUUCUGUCUCUUUCUGAGUCACGUCUGCCCCUGUUCUGGCCCUUCCCCAUCUAGAACUGCCAUUAUCAGUGGAGUAGUGGGUCCCUGGUCUCCUACAAAUCCUGGGACAUUGGAUCCCCAAGCUGUGCCAAUACUGCCUACUGUGCUAGCCUGACUUCAAGCUCAGGUGAGAGGCACAGAAUCCACACACUUAUUGCCAUCCUCUCCUAUUUAUCUCUGAGGAUCGACCGGGGACUGGGAUAGAGGAAGGGUGAGCUCCUCAUUCAGGAAAUAGAGGAGUGUUUCCUCUUUAUUUUUGCUGAGUCCUGCAGCCAGGAGGGUAAUACACUCUGAUCCCCUCAGUCUGAAUCUUCUCAUUGUCUUAUAGGAUUCAAGAAAUGGAAGGAUGAUUCUUGUAAGGAGAAGUUCUCCUUUGUUUGCAAGUUCAAAUACUGGAGGCAAUUGUAAAAUGGACGUCUAGAAUUGGUCUACCAGUUACUAUGGAGUAAAAGAAUUAAACUGGACCAUCUCUCUCCAUAUCAAUCUGGACCAUCUCUCCUCUGCUAAAUUUGCAUGACUGAUCUUUAGUAUCUUUACCUACCUCAAUUUCUGGAGCCCUAAACAAUAAAAAUAAACAUGUUUCCCCCAU
ensembl:lncRNA novel transcript